CAACCUGCCGUCUACUCUUGAACAGCCUUCUGAAAGGAAGAUUAAUACAAGAUGGCAUCAUGAGUCCGCAUGUUCACAUGAUUAAAGGUAUUCCGGUAGACGAUGGGGAUGCGUUCCAUUAGAUAGUAGGCGGGGUAACGGCCCACCUAGUCUUCGAUGGAUAGGGGUUCUGAGAGGAAGGUCCCCCACAUUGGAACUGAGACACGGUCCAAACUCCUACGGGAGGCAGCAGUGAGGAAUAUUGGUCAAUGGGCGAGAGCCUGAACCAGCCAAGUAGCGUGAAGGAUGACUGCCCUAUGGGUUGUAAACUUCUUUUAUAAAGGAAUAAAGUCGGGUAUGCAUACCCGUUUGCAUGUACUUUAUGAGUGAGGAUCGGCUAACUCCGUGCCAGCAGCCGCGGUAAUACGGAGGAUCCGAGCGUUAUCCGGAUUUAUUGGGUUUAAAGGGAGCGUAGAUGGAUGUUUAAGUCAGUUGUGAAAGUUUGCGGCUCAACCGUAAAAUUGCAGUUGAUACUGGAUAUCUUGAGUGCAGUUGAGGCAGGCGGAAUUCGUGGUGUAGCGGUGAAAUGCUUAGAUAUCACGAAGAACUCCGAUUG
rnacentral:rRNA from 1 species